CACUUCCGGCCGGCCCGCGGCGGCCGCUCCCUGUCAGGCAGCCGGUUCCUCCUGGCCGGGCCCGGGUGGGCCGCCUUUCUAUGUCGGAGGCCGGCUCCCGGCAGCGCCCGCCCACCGAACCCGAGCACUGUCCACGCUCAGGGGUCCCGGCCGCGAGCACCAUGGCAUUCCGGCCUGCGCGUCGCCUGCCGCCCAGACGCGGAGGUUCAGCCUGAGGCUCCUGAGGAACCGGGGUCGCGGACGGGUACUCCGCUCCCAUCCGUCUCCCAACUCCCGCCCCCACCCCGCCCCUGGGGCUCGGCCGUCGGGCGCUCGACGCUCGACUGCGCGGCGGAUCGACGCCCUCGGCGCUCCGGUGGCGGAAGUGAGGGCGUUGGCGGCGGGGCGGCAGCGGCCAGGGAGCCCUUGGUCGAGCGCGGGGCCCUGUCCGUGCGGGCCUGCAGAUUACUUCUGUAGCUUGACCUCUACUUUCCUCAACAAGCAGAAUGUCUCGAACACGACAACCCCCGCUUGUGACAGGCAUCUCUCCAAAUGAAGGAAUCCCAUGGACAAAGGUCACGAUUAGGGGAGAAAACCUGGGGACUGGGCCAGCUGACCUCAUAGGUCUGACAAUUUGUGGGCAUAAUUGCCUUCUGACAGCAGAGUGGAUGUCUGCGAGUAAAAUUGUAUGUCGCGUGGGACAGGCCAAGAACGACAAAGGAGACAUUAUUGUCACAACCAAGUCAGGUGGCAAAGGAACCUCCACAGUCUCCUUCAAGCUGCUCAGACCUGAGAAAAUAGGUAUUUUGGAUCAGUCUGCUGUGUGGGUUGAUGAGAUGAAUUACUAUGACAUGCGCACUGACAGGAAUAAAGGGAUUCCUCCCUUGUCCCUGCGUCCUGCUAAUCCACUCGGCAUCGAGAUUGAAAAAGGUAAAUUUCCCCAGAAGGACUUAGAAAUGCUGUUCCCUGGAAUGAGUGCUGAUUUUACAAGUGAGAACUUUUCGGCUGCCUGGUACCUCAUAGAGAACCACUCCAACACCAGUUUUGAACAGCUCAAAAUGGCCGUCACCCACCUGAAGAGACAGGCUAACAAGAAGAGUGAGGGCAGCCUGGCGUGCGUGAAAGGGGGACUCAGUACUUUCUUUGAGGCACAGGACGCCCUCUCAGCCAUCCAUCAGAAACUAGAAGCGGAUGGAACAGAAAAAGUUGAAGGAUCCAUGACGCAGAAACUGGAGAAUGUUCUGAACAGAGCAAGUAACACUGCAGACACAUUAUUUCAAGAAGUCUUGGGUCGUAAGGACAAGGCGGAUUCCACUAGAAAUGCGCUCAAUGUGCUGCAGCGAUUUAAGUUUCUCUUCAACCUUCCUCUAAGUAUUGAAAGGAAUAUCCAGAAGGGUGAUUAUGAUGUGGUUAUUAAUGAUUAUGAAAAGGCCAAGUCACUUUUUGGGAAAACGGAGGUGCAAGUUUUCAAGAAAUAUUAUGCUGAAGUAGAAACACGGAUUGAAGCUUUGAGAGAAUUACUUCUGGAUAAGUUGCUUGAGACACCAUCGACCUUACAUGACCAAAAACGUUAUAUAAGGUACCUGUCUGACCUCCACGCGCCAGGCGACCCUGCGUGGCAGUGCAUCGGAGCCCAGCACCGAUGGAUCCUCCAGCUCAUGCACAGCUGCCAGGAGGGCUGCGUGCGGGACCUCAAAGGGCCACCGGGCCUUCACAGCGCCACGCUGGACCUGGACGGCGAUGUGCGUGCCUCCAUGCCGGGUCAUCUAGGCCAGACGGCGUCUCUGAAGAGGGGUAGCAGCUUUCAGCCUGGUCGAGAUGACGCGUGGAGAUACCAAACUCCCCACCGGGUGGCAUUUGUUGAAAAAUUGACCAAGCUUGUUUUAAGUCAGCUGCCCAACUUCUGGAAACUCUGGAUUUCAUAUGUUAACGGAAGCCUUUUCAGUGAGACUGCUGAGAAGUCAGGCCACAUUGAAAGAUCAAAGAAUGUAAGGCAAAGACAAAAUGAUUUUAAGAAAAUGAUCCAGGAAGUAAUGCACUGUCUCGUGAAGCUGCUCCGGGGGGCCCUGCUCCCGCUCAGCGUCACGGAGGGCGGAGGGCGGCAGUGCAGAGGCUGGGAAGUGAAGGCCGAGCUCUCUGGGCAGGGGCUCGCUCACGCCAUCCAGACUCUGAGGCUUACUUAUGAAUCCUUGACUGCCCUUGAGAUUCCUAAUGACCUGUUACAGACGAUCCAGGACCUCGUCUUGGACCUUCGAGUGCGUUGUGUGGUGGUCACACUGCAGCACACAGCGGAAGAAGUAAAGAGAUUGGCUGAAAAGGAAGACUGGGUUGUCGACAGUGAAGGCCUGACGUCCCUACCAUGCCACUUUGAGCGCUGCGUGGUGCACUCCCUGCAGUCGCUGCGAGAAGUCCUGGAGUGCAAGCCCGGAGAAGCCAGCGUCUUUCAGCAACCGAAAACCCAGGAAGAGGUUUGCCAACUAAGCAUCAACAUCAUGCAGGUUUUUAUAUGCUGUCUGGAACAGUUGAGCACCAAGCCUGAUGCCGAUGUAGAUACUGCACAUCUCUCCGUUGAUGUUUCUUCUCCUGAUUUGUUUGGAAGUAUCCAUGAAGACUUUAGUUUGACUUCUGAACAGAGACUGUUAAUAGUCCUGAGUAAUUGCUGCUACCUAGAACGUCACACCUUCCGAAAUAUCGCAGAACAUUUUGAAAAGCACAACUUCCAGGGAAUAGAAAAAAUAACACAGGUUAGCAUGGCCUCACUGAAAGAGUUGGACCAAAGACUCUUUGAAAACUACAUUGAAUUGAAGGCAGACCCCAUCGUUGGCUCCUUAGAACCUGGAAUUUACGCAGGCUACUUCGACUGGAAGGACUGCCUGCCCCCGACAGGUGUCAGAAACUACUUAAAAGAAGCAUUGGUGAAUAUAAUUGCUGUGCAUGCAGAGGUGUUCACUAUUUCCAAAGACCUGGUGCCUCGGGUGCUGUCUAGGGUGGUGGAAGCAGUUUCUGAAGAGCUGAGUAGGCUGAUGCAGUGCGUCUCAUCCUUCAGCAAAAACGGAGCAUUGCAGGCAAGGCUUGAAAUCUGCACCCUGAGGGACACCGUGGCUGCUCACCUGACGCCAGAGAGCAGGUGAGAUGCUCCGUGGCCGUGCUGUGAGUGCUCCGAAAGCCCCUGUAGUAAAGCUCGUCGUACAGGCGUGAGGUCCCAGGUGAAGGUGACUGAUCACAGCGAGCGCUUGUGACUGUGGUCUCAUAGUUCAUGUGCGAUCAGUUGUUUUGUUAAAAGCACAAACCUACAGUGAGCCAAGGAUUCCAGAGACUGCUCCUUUGUAGCACAGAAGGAAAAAAGGUUUAAUGUAAUUUCAUGUUUCUCAUUCACUGAGGUAAGUCUUAGUCUCAUAAGCGGUGUAGCAGAGCAUUGCAUACUUCUUUUGAAAAGGAGAAAAUAAGAAUUGAGUCAGUCUAUUCAUCACAGACUCUGAAGGACAGUUCAAGCAUCAUGAGUAUCAGCAUAAGAGGAAGACCUUGUGGUUUCUCUGCAGAAUUUUGUAGUGGAAAUUUGGUGAUAAUUCUUAGCUGUUUUGAAUGAAAGUCAGGAUUUCCUAUCAUUGAAACAACAGUAGGUGAACUGAAACAGCACUACCUACAGAAGAUUGUUUACCCCAUUGGCAGUAUUGCCUGGGAAGUGUUGGGUCCACAGGGGAACUGCUUAAACACAAUGUGCGAUGUACUUACCGUUCGUUUCCAGCUUUAGACGGUGUGCUCGUGCCGUCAUCCUGACUGUCAUUGCUACAGCUGAAAACUUUUCCAUUUUUUCCUAACACAUGAGGUUAUUAGCCUCUUACUUCUGUUCUGGCGGCUGACCGGGAGCCUUUCUGGUUCGUUCCCACCACUGCUGCUCUGCGCAAGUGCUGAGUGAUAGACACCAGAAAGCACCCGCCCAGGACCCAUGGGUGAGGUGCUCUGCAUGAGGACAGACCUGUGUGUUCUUUCCCACUGACUUGACCUUUCGUAGCCCAGCUUCCUCAUCUGUGACAGGAAGAUAAUAAUACUUUCUAGGCAAAGUUUUGGGGGAAUUAAAUGAGAAACUAUGUCAAACCACCCAGUAAACUCUUGGUGGGGUCACCUUCAUCCUCUUCUUCUUGGUCGUGAUGUAAAAAUAGAGAGCAGUGGCCUCACAUUGCUCUUCAUCGAAUGAGAAGAGGUUUACAGGAAAUCAGGUGACAGUGGAGGCGGCGGUAGAGACUUCUCUCCACGUCAGGGAAGAGGACUGAGUGCCCACAAGUUGUGACCUGUCCCCAUCCCCCCAUACCUGACCCACCAGGAACAGCUGGGCACCCUGCCAAUUUCUGGGGCCCUGUUGGUACUUUGCUGUCUCUCUGUGUGUUGCUCUGAUACCUGCCCCUAGUUUGAGAAACAUUGCUCAGAAGUUUAUUUCCUGGUCCACUGAUGCAGACGUUUUUACAAAAAGAAAAAAAUCAAAGGCCACUUUGAAGUCAAAAUAAUUACAUUUAUUUCUUUACUUUAGUCAAUAGUCAUAAAACAAAAAGAGAUGAGAACUGUUCCUUAGUGAACAAUACAAGUUAUUACCAAAUAAUCUCCCCUGAAAUGCUUUUCAUUUGAUUUAGUAACUUUUCUGGUACUUUCUACUUUAAAAAGUUAAACAUACCAAAUUGGUGGUUUUUAAAUCCACUCCCUUUUCCGUAUUUCAUGAAAUGAAAUGAUGUUGAAUUACACAUACACACACACACACACACACACACACACACACACGCCCCUCUCCAUUAUCGUACAAAUUUUAAAUAUGAUAACAGCUAAAUCCUCUUAAGACAUGUUGUUAUUAUAAGAGGUUGGCUGGAAAUCAGGCCCUGCACAGGUCAAUUCUAGAAGUACCCCCUUUGUAUACUGUUGCACAAGAUCAUCCCUGUUUCUACUUAGCCCUCUUCCUCCCUUACCAGCUGUUUCAUCUGUGUACUUCAGCUUUGUUUUGAAAGUAAAGACCUCCUUAAAGUUAAUGACUCCACACGAAGCUCUCACCUACCACGGUGAGUAGCACCCUUGUGUAAAAAUCAGCUUCUCCUUUGCUUUUCAAGUUGUGUUUUAUUUGCUGGUUGAAUUCUUCUGGCCCAGCUCCUACAAACCCUCACUUUCACUUUCACUUUUCCCCCUGCUUCUACUGGGCUGUAUGUUUCUCUGUAUGUAAGAUGCGCUUUUUCUGAUGUUCCUCUUCCUGGUGGGGCCGGCGUGUCCCUGCCUGGGAUGCUGUCUGUGUUCCAGAUCCAGUUUCAAGCAGGCUCUGGAAGCCCUACCGCAGCUCUCGAGCGGAGCGGACAGAAAGCUGCUGGAGUUGCUGCUGAGCCGGGUCAGGAGCGGCGUGCACCUGCAGCUCGCCUGCUUCCAGGCCGCCCCUCCACCUGCCGUGAAGAC